rnacentral:rRNA from 1 species
UACGUAGGGUGCGAGCGUUGUCCGGAAUUAUUGGGCGUAAAGAGCUCGUAGGCGGUUUGUCGCGUCUGCUGUGAAAACCUAAGGCUCAACCUUGGGCUUGCAGUGGGUACGAGCAGACUAGAGUGCGGUAGGGGUGACUGGAAUUCCUGGUGUAGCGGUGGAAUGCGCAGAUAUCAGGAGGAACACCGAUGGCGAAGGCAGGUCACUGGGCCGCAACUGACGCUGAGGAGCGAAAGCAUGGGGAGCGAACAGG